rnacentral:rRNA from 1 species
GCAGAGCAUCCUACGGGAGGCAGCAGUGGGGAAUAUUGCACAAUGGGCGCAAGCCUGAUGCAGCCAUGCCGCGUGUAUGAAGAAGGCCUUCGGGUUGUAAAGUACUUUCAGCAGUGAGGAAGGUGGGUAUGUUAAUAGCAUAUUCAUUUGACGUUAGCUGCAGAAGAAGCACCGGCUAACUCCGUGCCAGCAGCCGCGGUAAUACGGAGGGUGCGAGCGUUAAUCGGAAUUACUGGGCGUAAAGCGCAUGCAGGUGGUUUGUUAAGUCAGAUGUGAAAGCCCGGGGCUCAACCUCGGAAUUGCAUUUGAAACUGGCAAACUAGAGUACUGUAGAGGGGGUAGAAUUUCAGGUGUAGCGGUGAAAUGCGUAGAGAUCUGAAGGAAUACCGGUGGCGAAGGCGGCCCCCUGGACAGAUACUGACACUCAGAUGCGAAAGCGUGGGGAGCAAACAGGAUUAGAUACCCUGUAG